AGGCCACUGCUAUCAGAGUUCGAUUAAGCCAUGCGAGUCGAGAGGUGUAAGACCUCGGCAUACUGCUCAGUAACACGUGGACAACCUACCCUAAGGAGGGGGAUAACCCCGGGAAACUGGGGAUAAUACCCCAUAGACUAUGGAUGCUGGAAUGCUUCGUAGUUCAAAGGUCCGCCGCCUUAGGAUGGGUCUGCGGCCGAUUAGGUUGUUGUUGGGGUAACGGCCCAACAAGCCUGUAAUCGGUACGGGUUGUGGGAGCAAGAGCCCGGAGAUGGAUUCUGAGACACGAAUCCAGGCCCUACGGGGCGCAGCAGGCGCGAAAACUUUACAAUGCGAGAAAUCGUGAUAAGGGAACUCUGAGUGCCCGUAAAAUCGGGCUGUCCAUCUGUUUAAAUAACAGGUGAAGAAAGGGCCGGGCAAGACCGGUGCCAGCCGCCGCGGUAAUACCGGCGGCUCGAGUGGUGGCCACUAUUACUGGGCUUAAAGCGUCCGUAGCUGGUCUGUUAAGUCUCUGGGGAAAUCUUCCGGCUCAACCGGAAGGCGUCUCAGGGAUACUGGCAGACUAGGGACCGGGAGAGGUGAGAGGUACUCCAGGGGUAGGAGUGAGAUCCUGUAAUCCUUGGGGGACCACCUGUGGCGAAGGCGUCUCACCAGAACGGCUCCGACAGUGAGGGACGAAAGCUGGGGGAGCAAACCGGAUUAGAUACCCGGGUAGUCCCAGCCGUAAACGAUGCGCGUUAGGUGUAUCGGUGACCAUGAGUCACCGAGGUGCCGAAGAGAAAUCGUGAAACGUGCCACCUGGGAAGUACCGUCGCAAGGGUGAAAAUAA
rnacentral:rRNA from 1 species